AAUAUUGGACAAUGGGCGCAAGCCUGAUCCAUCCUUUUCGCGUGAGUGAAGAAGGCCCUCGGGUUGUAAAGAUUUUUUUUCCCGAAAGAAAAGCAUUUGGUUAAUACCCGGGGGGGAUGACGGUACCGGAAGAAUAAACCCCGGGUAAAUUUGUGCCAGCAGCCGCGGUAAUACGAAGGGGGCAAGCGUUUUUUGGAAUUACUGGGGGUAAAAAGUGCGUAGGGGGUUUUUUAAGUCUGAUGUGAAAACCCCGGGCUCAACCUGGGAAAUGCAUUGGAAACUGGCGAUCUGGAGUGCGGUAGAGGGAGGCGGAAUUCCCGGUGUAGCAGUGAAAUGUGUAGAGAUAGGGAGGAACACCCGUGGCGAAAGCGGCACCCUGGACCAGCACUGACACUGAGGCACGAAAGCGUGGGGAGCAAACACGAUUAGAUACCCCGGUAGUGCACGCCCUAAACGAUGCGAACUGGAUGUGGGGUGCAACUAGGCACUCAGUAUCGAAGCUAACGCGUUAAGUACUCCGC
rnacentral:rRNA from 1 species